rnacentral:rRNA from 1 species
GAUGAAUGCUGGCGGCGCGCCUAACACAUGCAAGUCGAGCGGAAAGGCCCUUCGGGGUACUCGAGCGGCGGACGGCUGAGUAACGCGUGGGAACAUGCCCCAAAGUGAGGAAUAACUGCCCGAAAGGGUAGCUAAUACCGCAUAUGAUCUUCGGAAUAAAGGAUUUAUCCGCUUUGGGAGUGGCCCGCGUACGAUUAGGUAGUUGGUGAGGUAAAGGCUCACCAAGCCUACGAUCGUUAACUGGUCUGAGAGGAUGAUCAGUCAGACUGGAACUGAGACACGGUCCAGACUCCUACGGGAGGCAGCAGUGAGGAAUCUUCCACAAUGGGCGAAAGCCUGAUGGAGCGACGCCGCGUGCAGGAUGAAGGCCUUCGGGUUGUAAACUGCUUUUAUAAGUGAAGAAUAUGACGGUAACUUAUGAAUAAGCACCGGCUAACUACGUGCCAGCCGCCGCAGUAACA